rnacentral:lncRNA from 1 species
GAAGGGCUGGAUGCUGGGGAUUGUAGUCACUGCUAGUAGGACGGUUAGUGGGGGAAGAGCUGCAUGCUGGGGAUUGUAGUCACUGCUAGUAGGACGGUUAGUGGUGGAAGGGCUGGAUGCUGGGGAUUGUAGUCACUGCUAGUAGGACGGUUAGUGGGGGAAGAGCUGCAUGCUGGGGAUUGUAGUCACUGCUAGUAGGACGGUUAGUGGAGGGAAGGGCUCCACUAGUCACUGCUAGUAGGACGGUUAGUGGGGGAAGGGCUGGAUGCUGGGGAUUGUAGUCACUGCUAGUAGCACGGUUAGUGGAGGGAAGUGCUGCAUGCUGGGGAUUGUAGUCACUGCUAGUAGCACGGUUAGUGGAGGGAAGGGCUGCAUGCUGGGGAUUGUAGUCACUGCUAGUAGCACGGUUAGUGGAGGAAGGGCUGGAUGCUGGGGAUUGUAGUCACUGCUAGUAGCACGGUUAGUGGAGGGAAGGGCUGCAUGCUGGGGAUUGUAGUCACUGCUAGUAGCACGGUUAGUGGAGGGAAGG